UACGAAGGGGGCUAGCGUUGCUCGGAAUCACUGGGCGUAAAGCGCACGUAGGCGGCUUUUUAAGUCAGGGGUGAAAUCCUGGAGCUCAACUCCAGAACUGCCUUUGAUACUGAGAAGCUUGAGUCCGGGAGAGGUGAGUGGAACUGCGAGUGUAGAGGGUGAAAUUCGUAGAUAUUCGCAAGAACACCAGUGGCGAAGGCGGCUCACUGGCCCGGUACUGACGCUGAGGUGCGAAAGCGUGGGAGCAACAGG
rnacentral:rRNA from 1 species